rnacentral:lncRNA from 1 species
AGUGAAUGAAUGCAUGGGCAUUUAGGGCUUAUUUGGUUCAUCCAUUUUGAGUAUGGAAUGUGAAUCGAUUUAAUCAAAUCAGGUUAAUUUUGUUUGGUUCGCAUGAAUCGGUUUGAAAUUUCUAUUCCGAACUGGAAUGGGAAUGACCCAUUAGCCUUCAACUUGAUUUCGGUAUUCUAGUCCAGAUUGAGAUUUCAUUCUGAAAGCCCACUAAGUUCUCGAAGCCCAUGUGACCAUCUCACUCUCCUUCUCUUCACUCCUUUCUCAUAAAAAA